ACAUGCCUACAGCAUAGCGCUAAUGUACCGGAUCCCAUUAGAACUCCGUAGUUAAGAACGCUCAGGCUAGAGUAGUACUGGGAUGGGUGUGUU
rnacentral:rRNA from 1 species